rnacentral:lncRNA from 1 species
AGGGUGUCUAUGAAUUCAACAAUCUUGGAGAGGUAGAAGAUGUAUGCCCAGAAAAAGAGAGGGCCCGAUGGGGAUGUACCCCUAGGGAAGCAAACGAGGUUCUUGAAGUUAGGCACCUGGGAGAAGUUGGAAGCGAGGCAACCCAGGGCCAUGGUGAAAGAAAGGGUAAGGAGGAAGAUGUUGUCGACGGUUGUGAUUGAUUUGAAGAGUGGACGUGAAAGUGAAGGGCGAGAUAAUUGGGAGAGAACGAAGGUGAAAGAUGUAACACCCCUUACCCGAGACCGUUUCCGGAGUCGAGCACGAGGCAUUACUUAGCUUAUCUUACCAAUUCGGAGCAUAAAAACUAGGUUUGAAAAUUUAUUUCAUUAUUCGCAGCAAAUCUGUCCAAUCGCGCAGCAGUUACUAAAUUAAUUAUAACUUGAGCUACAGAACUCGAAAUUUAAUUCCGUAAAUUUUCCCUAAAACUAGACUCAUAUAUCUACUCACCACAAAAUUUUUAGAAUUUUUGGUUCAGCAAAUUAGUACAGUUUAUUAGUUAAAGUCUCCCCUGUUUCACCACCUGACUGCCCUGACCUCUAGUCACUAAAAAUAAGUUUUCUCACUGUAGGAUUUUCAUAUGAAGUUCUUACUUGUUUCUACAGAAAAUAGACUCAUUAAGAAAUCUAAGCAUGUAAAUUUAAACUCAUAAACAUUUUUGUACAAUUUUUAAUUAUUUUCUAAACUCAGAACAGGGGACUCCAAAAACAGUUCUGACCCUAUCUUACUAAAAUUCACAUAUCUUAAAAUAUAAAUUUCCUUUUUCUACACCGUUAUUUUUCCAUGAAAAUAGACUCAACAAGCUUUAAUUCCAUAUAUCAUUCACCCUCUAAUUCAUUUUAUACUAUCUUGGGUGAUUUUUAAAAUUCACGUCACUGUGCUGCCUGAAUUCUGUUUCUUUGCAAAAUUUUAUCCUUUCAUGAUUUCCAUGCAUAAUUUAUCACCUAAUCUUUCAUAAUAACAAACACCUUCAUCCUUAAUCAUUUUAAUAAUCAUACAUCAUCAAAUACUUACACAUCACUCAUUAGCAAAAUCAUCAUUACAAACAUACAAAAUAACUAAAUCCCUAUACAUGCCAUAACUCAAACGUGUUUCGAUAUAAAAUACCGAGCAGUUGUAGUUGAUAGUGUGGACGAUCUCCGACUUCUUUAGGAUCCUUGAAGUAGCUUUGCAAUACUAUAAGAGAAAGAGAAAUAAAAGAAGUAAGCAUAAAGCUUAGUAAGUUUACUAGCAAAUAAAUAACAAUAUUUAACUUAAAUAAUUAAACUCAAUGUCUAUAUCUCUAGUUUACUCUUUAGUUAAUCUCAUACUAGUUCUCUUACUUGUUUACUUAGAAUACUUGUGUGCAUAACUUACUCAAUCCUUACUGCAUCGUUGAACAUCAAUUGAUAGAUAAUAAGUUCUUAAGUCUUACAACUUACCUGAGCUUGCCAUUUAUGCUUUAAACUGAACUUUCAUGAACAUGAUUCGUUUACAAGCCCGUUGAGUUACAUUGGAAUAAUAAGGAUACUCGAGUCUCUUCUGAUAAUAACAUGCCAAAGCCAUGUCCCAGACAUGGUAUUACAUGGGAUGUUCUCGUGAUGGUGCCCAUGCCAUGUCCCAGACAUGGUCUUAUAGGGGACCUCUCAUCUCGGUGCCAACGCCAUGUCCCAGACAUGGUCUUACAUGGGACCUCUCGUCUCGGUGCCCAUGCCAUGUCCCAGACAUGGUCUUACAGGGGACCUCUCAUGAUCUUAAGGAUGUCAAUGCCAUGUCCCAGACAUGGUCUUACAUGGGAUCUCUGUAACAACCCGGUUUUGACCCUAAUCAGAAUAGUGGUUUCGGGACCACAAAUCUGAAUCAAAAAAAUAUUUUAAUAUUAUUUUGUGUGUUUAUUUUGUGUGCAUUCGAUGGUGUGAAAUUUUCGUGUUUUAAUUUCGUUGUUUAAGUGUCCGAUUUAAUUAAAGGGCUUAAUCGCAUAAAAUAAAAAUUUGAUGGCUAAGUAUGAAAGUGCUUAAUUAUUUUUAUCUUUAUAAUUUGGAGGUUUCAUGUUGAAAUUUAGCCAAUAUUAAUGGUAGUGGACGGCAAUGAUGGCUAUUAUAUAUAUUAUAUAUAUAUUAAUUAUAAAAGUAAAAUAACAAUGAUAUAAUAUAUUGAAAAUAAUAAAACUUAAAGAUAAAAAAAAAAGCAUGCAUGUUGUCUUUCUCAUUGCCGAAUAUACAAAAGAAAAAGAAGAAAAAAAUAGCAAGCUAGGUUCGGCCCUUAUUUUGCUUGAUUAAGGUAUGUUUUUGCUUCGGUUUUUGAUGAUUUUUACGUUUUUGAGAUCGUUGCUUUGAAUACUUCAAAACCCAUGUCUUAAUUUUGUGAAUUGAUGAAUAUUUUGAAUUAUGCCAUUGAUGAAUAUUUGUGUUUUGGGAUGUUUGAUGAUGAAUAAUGGAAGAUAUGUCUUAGAUUAACAUGUUUUGUAUUGAUAUUUUUGAUGAAUUUGAGUAUUUAGGGCUAAAUUGUGAAAAUAAAUUUUUGAGGGACUAAAAUGUGAAAUAAAUGCAAUGUGUGGACUUGUAUGAGAACCAUGAAUAUUCGGCCCUUGUGUGUUAUGGGCAAAUUUUGUGUAUUUUGUGUUUUGUGCAAAAAGGACUAAAUUGCAAAAAGUGCAAAAUGUUAGGGGCAAAAUGGUAAUUUUCCCAUUUAUGUAUCGUUGGACUCAAAUGAAUGUUUUGAUGAAUAAAAAGGUUAAAUUUGACUAUGUUUAGAUCAAGGAACGAAGAAAACGAAUUUGGAUUGGGGGAAGUCGAAGGUAAUCGAAUAGUCGAUCGUGUUUGCUGUUAUCCGAGGUAAGUCUAUUAGCUAUUUAAUGUCAUAAAAUCAGUAUAUAAAUAAGUAUAUGAGCUGUUUUUGGAUGAAUUAUAAUUAAAAAUAUGAUAGUUGAAAUAAUUAAAAGUAUGAGUGAAUUAUAUAUAUUAUGCAAAUCUACAUCUAUAUGUUCUCGUAUUGAACUUAGGUAUGCCAUUUAUACAAGUUUAUAAGGGGUUCGACUAUGCAACUAUGCAUGUAUAUGUUCUUGUGAUAAAUUUAAGUAUGAAACUUAUAUAUGAAAAAGGGAGAUUCGAUUAGGUAUGUAUGUUCUUGUAAAGGUUCUUGAACGGGGUUGAAGAGAUGAAAUUAUUAGCUUGGAUUAUCUUAAUGUGUUCGAAAGUACGAUAUUAAUAGUAUGCUUCAAUGUGUUAAGUUAUAUAUAUAUAUAUAUAUAUAUUCGGAUGUAUAAUUUAGAUAUUGAGUUGAAUUUGAUGACUGAAUUUUUUAUACCGAUGUGGGUUAAGGAUAUAGUUUAUAAAUUAUUGAGCUGAAUUUUUAUGUGAAUUCUAUAUACCAUUAUGAUAUACAACUCCUAUGAAUUGAGAUUCUUUUGUUAAAGCUCAGUAUCAUUCGGUUUAUCGUUAGUGACAUAAUUCAGACUUUACGUCUAGCAGGCUUAAUGCCGGUGAAAUUAUUCAGACUAUAAGUCUAGCAGGCUUAAUGCCGGUGACACAUUUCAGACUAUAAGUCUAGCAGGCUUAAUGCCGGUGACACAUUUCAGACUAUAAGUCUAGCAGGCUUAAUGCCGGUGACACAUUUCGGACUAUAAGUCUAGCAGGCUAAGAGCCGGUGUAUUGAAUCAGGUUUUAAAACCUAGCAGGCUAAAUGCCGGUGAAUCCGUUUAAAGCAUGUGAUAAUAUACAAUUGAUACCUCUAUGAUUUUGAUUAUAUGAAAUCGAUGUAUACAUAAAUGUUCAAUCACAUGAUUUUAGUCAUAUUAACUUGAUGAGCAUAUAUAUAUAUACAUAUAUUUGGUCUAAGCAAUUGAUAGAUAUGUAUAUAUAUAUGUUGCAUUCGGCAUAGGUGGAUAUAUUUAUGUGUAUGCAUUCGGCAUAGGUGAAAAUAAGUGUAUGUAUCUAUGCAUUCGGCAUAGAUGGGUAUAGGUGCAUAUGUGCAUUCGGCAUUUAUGGAUGAUAAGCAUAAAAAUUUGGCUUUUGAUAUAUGUAGUUGAAUAGUUGUAUUUAAAUGGAUUCGAUGAAGUGCGAACAAUAAGUACUCUAGAAAUCAGUAUAUGCUGUUAAGGAUUAUGCUAGUAACUUGAUUAUAUGCUUAUAAUGUAUAUACAUUUGUCCGUUUAUGUGUAUUAGAUAAAUAUACAUCCUUUUAGACUUAAACAAAAUGACUCAAUAAAGUAGUGUUUGAUUAGUAAUCAUAUUUGAUGAUUGUAAUUUCAAUAAAUUUACUUAAAGAAUUAUAUGAUUCUUUUAUAUGUAUUUUAGAUAUGCUGUAGACUUACUAAGCUAUAAAAGCUUACUUUUUUUGCUUUCGUUCAUUCGUUUUUAUAGAUUUUUUUUUGGAGACGCGUUACGAGCUCGGGGAUCAUCAGCACCGCCCAUCACACUAUCGACUUCUUUUGGUAUUUUGUUAAAUAUUUGAACUCGAUCUUAUGGCAUGUAUAGGCUUGAUAAUGUUUUGGAUAAUUUUGAAUCCUAUUGUGUAAAUAGCAAUGCGAAAAGAGUUUAACUUCCAUGCUUGAAUUUGAUUAUAUAUGUUCAUGAAUUGGACUUGCAUUUGGAAUUAGAUAUUAAAGUUAUGUUUAUGUGAGCUUGGUUUCGUAAUGCCUCGUAACCCUGAUUCGGCGGCGGAGACGGGUUAGGGGUGUUACAAUCUCUUUACCCAAAUGUCAUGACAUUCGUAUCCAGUACCAUCCUUAUGUAUCAACGGGACUUUUAAAUUUUAAUUCUCUAUCAUUUCAUGCUUGGAUCAUCAUCAAAUAAAUUCAUAAAAUAAAUUCAUAAUUGCUGGAAAUUAACAGCAUUAAUAAUAAAUAUUGAAAUAUUGCAUUUAUUUACCGUAAACUUACCUCGGUACCAAUUAUAGCCAAAUUCACCAACUUAGUCUUCAACUUUAUUCUUCCCUUUGUCUAACCUCGAGUUUCGUACUUCUUGAUCUAAAAUAGUAAAUUUAACUUAUUUAAUAAUCACAUUCAUCAAAACAGCCCUCGACUCUAACUUUUUCAAAAUUACAAUUUUGCCCCUAAACUUUUACAUAAUUACAUUUUUGCCCCAAGGCUCGGAAAUUAAACUUCAUCUCUUAUUCUUAUGUUUUAUAACAUUCUGAACAUUUUUCCCUUCUAUGGCAACAUCAAAUUCCCACUCUAACAUGUACUUAUGAACAUUAGGUAUUUUUACCGAUUAUGUCGUUUUACUCGUUUUCACUUAAAAUCGCUUAGCAAAAGUUGUUUAACAUAAUUUAUAGCUUCAUAUUCUAUCAUAAAACAUCAAAAUAAACACUUUUCACCUAUGGGUAUUUUUCCAUAAACCCUAGGUUAAAUUAUUGCUAGAAUAAGCUAAAUUAAGCUACCGGGAUCUCAAAAACGUAAAGAAUAUUAAAAACGGGGCUUGGGAUCACUUACUAUGGAGCUUGGAAGCUUGAAAACCCUAACUAUGGCUUCCCCCCUUGCUUAUUUCGUUCAUAUGAAGAAGAUGAUGAUUUUUGCCAUCUUUUUCCCUUUUAAUUCAUUUUAAUUACUAGAUUACCAAAUUGCCCCUAACUUAAAAAUUUUCUAUUUCACUUAUCUCAUGUCCAUUUUUGUCUACCAAGUUACCAAUGGUAUAAUUACCAUAUAAGGACCUCCAAUUUAAAGUUUCAUAACAAUUGGACACCUCUAACAUGUAGAACUCAACUUUUGCACUUUUUACAAUUUAGUCCUUUUGACUAAAUUGAGUGCCCAAACGUCGAAAUUUUCGAACGAAAUUUUCAAAAAAUCAUUUUGUGAAAUUUUAGACCAUAAAAAUAUAAGAAAAAUAAAAUUUUUCUCAUCGGAUUUGUGGUUCCGAAACCACUGUUCCGAUAACCUGAAAUUUGGGCCAUUACAAAAGAGAUGUAAGACAAGACAGUGAGGGUGAGGAAGAGAUGAGAGAAGCUGGUGUUUGGCCAUUUUCCCAUGAAAACUGGAGGAUUUUGGGAUGCUUCACUAGCCAAUCCUCCAAGGUUGAGAACAAGGCUUGUUGCACCACCAAGUCUUUGAUACAGGAGAAAAGGGUUGGGAAAAAGGGCACUUCCAUCUUGCUGCUGCCUUUACUACUCUAGUACUACUCAGUUAAAAAAGCUGCAGCAAAAAGGAGAAGGGGGGAUUGCCUUUAUAAGCACUGAAAAGUUACUUAUGAUCCAAUUUUUUCUCAACUGCCUACUGGUACUGGAUAUCAUUGAUCCAUCCACUGCAUUCCUGUUUAUGGUUAUUCAUUUAUGGAUAAUGGUCCGCCAGUAAUGAAAUCAUUUAUGGAUAGGGGGUAAUUAGCCUACCCCUCUUGUAACUUGUAAGUAAAUAGAUUUUUGGGUAAAUUAAACUGUUGCUUAAUUAUCUAAUUAUUAGUAAAUUUGUUACAAAAUUAAUACCUAACUAUUACUGAAAUUUUUUGUCACCUAAUUAUAAAAAGUUAUAAAAUGGUCACUCAACUAUUAAAUUUCAAUGUAACACCUUCAUACUCGACCUGAAUAUCGAGUCAAAGUACUGGGAUGCUACAUUCAUUGUCGAAGCAACUUUGAUGAUUUCAUGUCAAUUAAUCAUUAUAAAACUCAAAUUAUAUCAAAACACUUGCAAUAACUUGUGUACAUGUCAUAUUCUAUAACCAAAAUAUCAAAUUCGUACUCUCUUCAAGCCUUGGUGAUGAGAUGAGAUGCGUGGAAAUCCCAACCCGAAUCUAGAGCUUCAAUUCGAUCUUCCAUCUAUGUGUUUAAAACACACAUUAUGCUUGUAAAAACUUAGAAAGUACCCAAGAAUCCAAAUUUCAAGUUUUUUUUACCUUGAAUUCUAUAUAUAAAAAUUUACCAUAAUUCACUACUUUUAUAUUUUCAUGGAUUGGUAUGAACAAAGCUUUUACCAAAUUAAUUCACUACAUUAUCACUUACUUCAUUAUCACUUACCAGUUUAACAAAAUUUGUUAUCAAAAUCCUUUACUUGUCAUCUCACUAUGUAAUAGGAAAUUUUUAUAAGAAUUUGUUUAUCAUAUAACUCUUUAUUUUGUUUAGAUUAAUUAGAGUUCCAUUAGAUUAUUAAUUGAAUUUAUUGUGAUUUAUGUCUCAAAGGGUUCAAUUGUACACUUAUCCAUCUAGGCAUUAUAUCAAUUGAUUUUUUCAAUCAACCUUCCACUUUUUAAUUUUCGUUUUAUUUAUUUAUUGUUUUAAAUCUUUAUUCUUUGUUCUUAAUUUUUUUCUUUAUUAUUAUUUUUAAAUAUGUUUGGUUUCUUCUUUUCAAGUCAUUCUUGAAUUUUUUAGUUAGAACAACUCAAACACAAUCUUCUUUCACUGCUCCUUUAUUAAGAAUAAAACAUAUUUCAUGGCUAAUAAUUUACCUAUUCGAAAAGCACCCGAAAAGAUUAAUCACUACUACUAACAGUAGAUAUAUCCUGAUUACGAAAAAAAGAAAAGAUAAAAUACAAUUUUACGUUAUAAAAAGUUGUUAUGAUUUUAUAAAAAUAUGGCAUGAAUCAUGUCAAAUCAUAUAAAUGAAAUAUACCUAUAAUAAUUCAUGCCCAAUUUAAAUAUAGAAUGAGCACCAAUAACUUUUUCACGUGCAACAAUAAAUAUUGAGAAUAACAAAAGAGCAAGAAAAUUGGAAAGAUAAAUGCUUUAUCUAAAGUCUAAACUUCAAACAAUAAAAUCCUGACUUUUCCCUUGCAUGGAAUUAUGGAUAUAUAUUUGUAUAAUAUUAGUAAAUAGUUUUUUUUUUAUGUUAGAAUACGAUGAGGACUAGAAAAAAAUUAUACUCUCAAUUCAAAUUUAAACCAUUAAAAAAUAAAAAUAAAAAGUUUUAGACUCGAGCUUGACAUUAAAAAAACAAAGAAAUAAAUAAAUAAAAACUAAUAAUUUAUUCAAAAAUAGCAUGUAAACACGUGUAUCCAUUUAAAAAACUAACCUCUUAGGAGAGAAAAAAAAUAAAAAUUAAGAUAAAAUUACAAUCAAACGAGAAUUAGGACAAAAUAAUAAGAUGUAACAAAACAAAUUAUUUAUACAAAAAACUUGUAACUGAAAAGCUAAUUAAUAUAUCAAAUAUUCUUAAUAACAAAUAUUACCAUGUACAAAAUGUGUAACUGAAAUUAAAGUUGAAUUGAAAAUUUAUUAACUUUUUUUAUAAUAAUAUAUUUAAUAAAACUAAAUAAACUAAUCAAUUUAAAUUUAGAAGAAAACAAAAGUAAUACAUUGGUAGUGUAUUUUUUUUAUUUCACAAACAACUUUAAAAUUUUGUUAUGUGGCUUUUUUUUUAAAUAUUUUACUCUAUCUUUAUAACUUGUUAGCCCUCUAACUUUACUUGUGAAUUAAGAUUAAAAACAUCACUGAUAGCGUAUAUCAAAUAUUUUCUCAUAUUUUAAUUAUAAAAAAUAAUAUAAAACUAAAUAAUCCUAAUGACAAUCAAUAUGCAAUUGAAGUUAAUUAAUAUUUAUUAAAUUUCAACUCAUUUUAAUUUACAUUUUAUUAUUUUAAUAUGAAAAUAAAAUAUUAAUAUAAGAAAUGCAUCCUAUUUUAACACUUUGAUUUUGAAUAAAAGUUAGAACAAUUCUAUUUUUAUAAUUCAUAUAAAUAUUAAAAUUAUUUGGGAUUUUAAUAUAUUAAAAUUACCAAAUUAAAGAUUAAUAUUUAAAUUUAAUUAAGUUAAAACAUUAAUUUUUUAUUUUAAUAUUAAAUCUGUCUCUCUUUUUUUUUUACCUUUUAAAUAUAUUUUCUAAUUUAAAAUCAUAUAGAAAUUUUAUUAAAUAAAAUUUAAAUUCAAAUUGGAUCAAAUUUAAAAAUUCAAGUCCUUCAUAUUAUGCAAACUAAAAUUAAUAGGGAUUUAUCUAAUGUUGAAUUGAAGUCAUCUAUCGGAUUUGAUGAAGAAAAACACGAUGAAUUAAUUUAUCUUGAUUUUUUACUUUUUAUAAUACAAAUCAUAAUUGAUGGAGGCUAUAAUUUUUUCAUUAAUUUUGUGUGUAACCUUAAGUAAACCCCAAGCAACAGAGGUUAUAAUUUUUUAUUAAUUUUGUGUGCAACCCUAAACAAACCCUAAGUAAUGAAGGUUAUGAAAUUUUAAAAUAAUAAUAAUAAAUAAUAAAUAAUUAUCAUUAUAAAUUAUAAUUACAAUAUUAAUUAAAAAAUAACAAAGUAAUAUUAUAAAUCUGAUAAGUUUAAAGCUUUCAUAUUAAAAAAAUAUAAUAAUAUGAUUGUGGUCAAAGUAAAUUUCAUUUUCAGUAAUAUCUCUUCAAACAAUUCUAACUUAUUAAUCUCUACUUUUUUUUUAAUAAUUUUUUUAGAUGGUACUUGAUUUCACCAUAAGCAUUAUAAUUUUAAAAACUUCAAUUUCAUUUGAUUUGAUUUUCAUAUAAAAUUUUAAUAAAUAUAUAUUUUUAUAUAAAUCUUUUUCGUGUGUCAUAACUACAUUUUGAAUGUUUUAUAAUUUAAUAUGAAGAAAAAUAAUUCAUUUGGUUGACCUAUUGUCUCUAUCAAUUUCAUAGUCAAUUACUUUAUUUUAUUCCCAAUUAACUUCAAUUGAUUAAAACUAAUCCGUAGAAACAAUACAUGUGAUAAAGUAGUGUCUUAGGUUUACAUCAUUUGCAUAAUUGAUUGUUGACCUUAUGACCAAAUUAGUUUGAAAUAUUGGACUGUCAUUUGAUGCCCUACUCUCAAAAUUUUUUUGUUACCAAAUUUAUUUUAUGUUGUGUAUAUAUAUGACACUGGAUUUUCUUAAUAUUCUCUAAGAAAAAAAAAACUUAGAUAUGACGUUAAAUUGGAAUUUAAUGGAUGAAUCAUGAGGUGUUUGUUCCAAAUCUUACCAGACAUAAAAUAUUGGUGUAAUGAAAACGACAAAAGCAUGCAAUAUCUUAAAUAAUAUAUAUGACGAUAAAAGGGACAAGUUAAUUUUUGAUGAGGUCCUGUCAAACUUAUUAACUCACCUGCUUACCAUAUUUAAUGUUGACUGCGACAACAAUUUCUAUGUCAGCCUUCAUUUAUUUAUCUCAUCAACUUUUUUUUUUUUUUCACUUCACGGUCGUUCCAUUUUCUUCAUCGUCAGAAACGAUAAUACAAUAUAAUUGCAUGCAGCAGGAACUGUUUAAUCAUGCAUUUACAGUAAAAACAUAAAAUAUAAAUUAACAAUGAAUCUCUUCAAUUAAUUGAUAUUAAGAUACAUAUGCACACCGAAGAAUUGAAAUCGUAAAAGGAAUUUAUGACAAUUAUGUUCAUUUUUUUCUUCAACUGAUCAAUCACUCUGAAACAAUAACUACAUAUAAAAAUGAAAACGAAAUGAAAACAAAAGGUAGUUUAAUUAAUUAUUAGUUACCCUUGAAGACCUUGGCAUUGGUGGAGUAACUCUUGGCAUGAAAGUCUGAGAACAAGUAGAGAAGAGAGGCGAUGAAGGCUGCAUUGAAACACCAACUCAGAAUCCCAGAGCAGCCAGAAGCUGUGAAGUGGUAGAACACAAGCAUGGCCAUGAUCAAAAAGCUUAACCAGAACUGCACUAGUUGAAAAUCCGUCACCAUUUUUUUCCACUUAGGGUGCAUCCCCAGGGUGCACAACAGGUAAUAGGUGUACAUUACGACAUGCACCACGCAGUUGGUGACCAGCACCAUGGGUACGGAGGACUGAGCACUGUCUAAGCAAAUAUAACACAUGAUGACCACCAUGGAGUGAUGGUAAACGUGAAGGAAGGAUAGCCUCUUCAUGGAUCCGCUGAGGAUGAUCAAAAGGGUGUCCAUGAAUUCAACAAUCUUGGAGAGGUAGAAGAUGUAUGCCCAGAAAAAGAUAGGGCCCGAUGGGGAUGUACCCCUGGGGAAGCAAACGAGGGUGUUGAAGUUAGGCACCUGGGAGAAGAUGGAAACGAGGCAACCCAGGGCCAUGAUGAAAGAAAGGGUAAGGAGGAAGAUGUUGUGGACGGCUGCGAUUGAUUUGAGGAGUGGACGUGAAAGUGAUGGGCGAGAUAGUUGGGAGAGAACGAAGGUGAAAGAGAUGUAAGACAAGACAGUGAGGGUGAGGAAGCGGUGAGAGGAGGCUGGUGUUUGGCCACUUUCCCAUGAAAACUGGAGGAUUUUGGGAUGCUUCACUAGCCAAUCCUCCAAGGUUGAGAACAAGGCUUGUUGCACCACCAAGUCUUUGAUACAGGAGAAAAGGGUUGGGAAAAAGGGGACUUCCAUCUUGCUGCUGCCUGUACUACGUCAAUCAAUAAAGCUGCAGGAAAAAGGAGUGGGGAUUGCCUUUUUAAGCACUGAAAAGUUACUUAUGAUCCAAUUUUUUCUCUACCUCAACUGCCUACUGGUAGUAGAUAUCAUUGAUCCAUCAACUUGCCACUGCAUUCAUGUUUAUGAUUGUUUUCAUUUAUGGAUAAAGGUCCGCCAGUAAUGAUUUCAUUACUGCCUAUAGGGGGGUAAUUAGCCCCUCUAGUAACUCGUAAGUAUAUAGAUUUUUGUAUAAACUAAACUAAUAGUAACUCAAUUAUUAGUAAGUUAUUUUUAUUUUGUCACUUAUUAAUGAAAAGUUAUAAAAUGGUCUCUCAACUAUUUAAUUUUAUCUCCUUUUUUUUUAUUACCAACAAGGUAACUGUGGCAACUUUUAAAAUUUAUAUAAUAACAAUUUUAACCUUCAUGAUUUAUUCAUUAUGUCAAUUUUGUCUUAACUUUAGAAAAUUUAACUAUUAAAAUUUACACAUUGUGUAAUUUAGUCUUAUAAUUUUGCUCUUCUUUAUGUCCCUUUCAACUAAAAUGUUAAAAAAACACAUUUAUCAAGUAAAUUUGAUUGAAAAUAUACAAACAGAAAAAAGAAACACUCAAAAAUCUAAAAUAAUAAUUUUAAACUUUUCUUGUUAUUUUAAAAAUAACACUAAAUGUCGCAAAGAAAAUAAAGUGCAAAAAAAAAAAGAGACCUAAUUCAUAAUGUGGAUUUGUUGAGGGUUAAAUUCAUUUUAGAAUCAAGACUAAAUUGACAUAUUUUAUAAAUGUUGAUGAUUAAAGUUAUUAUUAAUUAUGUAAAAUUUAAAGUUUUCACUAUUAGUUAGAUGGUAAAAAGAAUAGUUGAGUAACUAUUUCAUUGAGCAACUAAAAAAUAUACUAAUAUUUGACUAAACAUUUUAUAAUUAUUGAGUAACAAAAAUAUAUUCCAAGCCAUUGCUAGUGUAGUUUAGCUAGAUUUUUUAUUCAUUAACACCUACCGUAAGUCUCAGCUAGUAGAGACAAUUUUACACAAUUGAGUUCGUUCGGUCAAAACAACUCAACUUGGUUAGAUUAUUGUCAAAUUUAGUUUCAUAAUAAUUAAUUUAAGUAUUUUAUGUGUUUUAAAAUUUAAAAUCCCUUCUAAAAAUUCGAAUUAAGCAUUAAUAAUUAAUUAUAAAGUUGAAUAUUAGAAUAUAUAUAUUUAUACAUACAAAUACACUAUAGCUCAACUUAUACAUCUAAAUGUCUUCAACUUAUACACUGUAAUUACAUCAAACAAUCUAAAACGUAUCAAUGUUGUAUAAAUUAAAAUUUUUCAUUACUCUUGUCAUUUGUUUGAGAGUUAAAUGUUAUUUCAAAUCUAAUAUGAAUUUAUUUAAAAUACGUGAGUGAAACUAUAAAUAUGUGUGUACCUAUUACAUGAAUAAUUUGAAGACAUGUUAAUAAAAAAAUACCCCUUCUAACAUUGUUUGUUGUUUUAACAAACUAGAUCUAGAUCCAAGCUAUCCAUAUGAUAGGUACACAAGUGUACUUAGAACCUACCAAUCAGCAAGGUACCACCACUUCUCUUGGUUGUGCUCCAUUAGCGUUGUGAGCAUAAUACCAAUAUCGUCCUCUUUAGGCAUCACUAACACGUUAAGAUUUUGUAACUUUAAGAUGCAUCUCUUUAAGUUUAAACUCACGAUCUCUCUAUGUAGGAGACCUUUUUGCAACCAUGGCAUGUCCCAUUGAUCUGGCUUUAAAAGGCGCCUUUUUAUGUCUUGAUCCGUCGACCAACAUGUACUAAUACUUCACUGCGUCGGAUUACUCUAGCGUCAUGGCAUAAUACAAAUGCUGCUGUCCUCUUCAGGUGUCCGCCGAUCCUCCAAGAAUAGCUCACCCGAAGGUAUGCCACUUCGGAUUUGAAAUUAGAACUUUCGAGUCAUGUUCUCAAUUAUGGCACCAUUUGAUCUAACCUAGGUAAUGGAAAACACUCAUAAGUAGGAGGUCUUUGUUUCAAACUUAGGAGGCGCAUCUUCGGGUGACAAAACUUUGCUGAUAGGCACCCAAAUAGGAUAAUAAUAUUGGUAUUAUGUCACUAGUGUGACGCAGCUUAAGUAAGUGAUCAUAGUACCUUAACGAUUGACAGGUCGUGACAUAUAUUUUUUAUUUGAUCCACAAAAAAAUUCGACAUAAAAUUGAAUUUGAUAUUUAAUACAUAAUUUAAAUACACAAUUAAAAAUUAAAAAUUUAGAAUUUUGUUACGAUUCAAACCACUAUUAAUUACAUCAAAUAUAUUUGGAGUAACAGUGUUUUUAUAAAUGGGUUAUUCAUGAUUUUGACACUUCUCAAUCAGUCAAGGUAUAAAAUCAAAAUUACAGAAUAUAUAUCACUAUUUUAAUCGGUUAGAUAUCCCUGCCACAUUUAAUGUUUUUUUCUUUCAUUUCAUUAUCAAAAUAAAAGAUAUGUCCGAUUGAAAGCCUAACCAUACAUCUAUAUUAUUAAACGCAAAGGUUGUAGAGUUAAGUUUAAAAGGGUUUACAGUGUUCUUAAUUUCGCUUUACUACUAGGAUUUUUUGAAAAGUAUGAUUUGGAGGGUAAAAUAUAUUAAGAGUUCUCCUUUUUACUUUUUUUUAGUACUAAUGGUUUUUCUCUCUCUUGUUGAUUAAAUUGUGCACUUGCACUUAAGUUUGCAAGUAGUACUUUUCUUUCUGAAAUGAGUUUUACAAAACUAUUAUUAUAUUCACUAUCUUCAUAACUUCUCCCCCAUUACUCACUAUAAGUAACAUAAACUUGAUUUCAUUCACUUUACCCAUUAUUCUUAAAACAUUCUUGUGAAUUAACCUAUAUCUCUCCCACAUCCUAUCAAAUAUGCCACUUGUUUCAUUUGAGGGGACUUUUGAAUCGUAUGGCAAACUUGAGUGCUUUAAAAAUUCUCUCUAUAACUUUCUUUCUACAAUCAUAAUAACACCGUAGCUCUCAUCUUUUUCAGCCCCUAAUUGUUUCCAUCACCACUACCUGCUACUACACUUGUUUGUUAGAAUGUGGAGAUAAAAAUAAGUUUAUGAGAAAUUAACAAAGGCUUCAAGGCGUGUAAUAAUGCCAUUAUCUUUAAGGUUCUAUUCGCCGCUACCUAUAUUUUGGUGUGCAAAAGAGAUAUUAGUAAAUAAAACUCGAGGAUACAAUGAAGUACAAUAAUUGUCUACGUUUUGCAGUAAUAGAAAUAGUCCGUUGAGCAUUGAGCAGAAUAUGAGAAGGAUAAUCAAUUUUUAUAAAGAAUUUUUACAGUAAUUCUUUAUAUAGCAAUCUAGAAAUAUAAAAGAUGGUGGGAAAAUAGAAAAAAAAAUUGUUUCAAUGCUUUUGGGUGUUUCGUACCAAUGAAAUUCUACUCCUAUUUAUAGGAGAUCUCAUGUCUCUUCAUAGGAAUAAAAUUACCUAAAUGGAUGGUCAUAUAUUUAGCAAUGAAUAUAAUUAUUCAACUAGAUAGUAUGUGUUAAUAAUCAAGUAACGUAAUUAUUGAAUUUAAGAAACAUAACUAAUCACUAUAAAUAAUGACAACAUUUGAUUAAUAACUAAGUGACAUAACUUUUAGUUAUUUAUAGUAUCUUAUUUAUAAUUAUUAGAACACUAUAAAUAUUUUAAAAAUGUUCCAACAUUAACUGUUUUCCAGAGUUUGAUCCAAUCUUCCAUUAUAUGUAAUGUUUCCUCCAUUAACCAAAAGAAUCCUUUACAAUAUGGAACAUCAUUGCUGUGUAUUUGUCAUACAUGCUAGAAUCGUUUUGUCCAAAAAAUUUUGGAUUAGUUCUUACAUUAUUUUCAGGAUUUUAAAUAGCAGUUGAGAAGACUAGGUAAUGUUGAAUAUCAAUCAAACACACAUUAUGUGUAUAGAAAUUUAUUGUUUGAAGAUUUGAAGAUUUGAAGCAUAUUUAAAAAAAAAAGUGAUUUAGUUAAUGUAUAAAAAUAAUAAGUUGAGUUUAAAUUCUACCCUACACUUUAAAUAAUGUCCCCAACUGCAUAACAAUCACGAAUUUCUUUAUUCAUACCUAUUUUACUUUUUUAAUCAAACGUGCAUUUCACACGCAAUUUCAACUUGUUCUUUUUCUAAUCAAACAUAAAUUAAAAAAAAAAAAACCCAAAACAAAAAAGGAAGUCCGGAACUGGCAACGUAAUAAUAAUAUUGGUAUAUAUAGAGAAGCUAUCAAACAGUUGGGACUUGAAACCGUAAAAUAAAUACUUUGUCGGGAAAAAGCUGAAAAAAAAUGAAUGUUUCGCUUGCCCUUUGUCAUAACUCAUAGUGAUGUAAUUGCUCCACUCUCAUUAAAAAAAAAAACGUAGUGAAAUUUAUCAAAUGGUUUAAGAUCUUAAAAAAAUAUACAUAAAUAGGAAGAUUGAGUUGACAGACGGGAAAUAUAGGUCCAAUAUGUAAUAUGUUUGUUAUAUUAUAAUGGUACUUUAAUAAAAUAUAUAAAAUGUUAGGUGUAGUAUGAAUGAAAAGAGAAAGGAGGGAUAGUUCUUGCCCCCAACAGUGUUGUUAAGUUAGGUUUUAAAUAAUUAAUUUAAAGAUGAGGGAGGAAGAGAAGCUCAGCCUCCGUCUCCGUCUGCACAUAUUCCAACCAAUGAAGAAAUUCUGAAUGAUGUCGGCCAAGGGAAGGAUAGCAUGCAGCGAAGAGCAUGUGGCCCUUUACCCUACAUUAUCUACUAAUAUACGACAUUACAUUUAUAGUUGCUGAAAAACACACAAGUAAUUAAGAUGCCAUUGCCUUCAAGUGCCAACUAUAUAGCUGCCUUUGACCACACCACUUCAUGUUCCUUCCAUCUCUAUACUACGUUGCUUGCUUUGCCUCUUGGAGAAUGAUACAUUUGCAGGUGAUCCGCAAAAACAACGUCCGCACCUUUCAACUAGCAGCUAUAUAUUAAUUAAAUGGAAAACGAAGAAGAUUCAAAAACAUGGUAUAUCGACGUCGAAACUAACCACCAUUCACAAAUAUAAAAUUAAAUGCUAUAUAAAGACUGCAUGCGCAAGUGGAGCAGAACUGGCCCUUCCCUACUGUCCAUACCCUGGCCUGCUGAAAGUCACUGAAAAUAAUGCCUAAUGGUGGUGGAUCCCCAGCCACUCUGUAAUUUAUAAUUAUAAUGAGAUGCUUGGAGGUGAAUGGGGAGAUUCAUAAGAUGAUAAACAGCUAAUGCUUCCAAUCCACCGAUUAGUCUACCCUAAUUUAAAAUACAAUAUCAUUCUCCCAUGUAAGUUUUUCAGAUACCCAUCUAUGAGCGAUAUAAAAUCUGCACCAAGUUUUCGCUUAUUUGAUCUGCACCGUCCAUUGUGAUUGUUGCACUUAAUCAUAUCCCUACAAACUUAGGAAUUACUCAAUUAAUGCUCACGUAAUUAUAUCUAAUCGCCUUGCAUGGCAUAUCAACUAACUUCAUUCAAUUUGCUAAAUGUCAACAUUAAUUGCACUGGCUUGUAACAUAAAAUUAGAAAUUGAGAGUCGGACAAUUUCAAACCCAACAACAAACAGUGUAUUUGGAUGCAAUGCUAAUCCUUUUUACGUUGUCGAUCGACAUCCAACUUUCACUUUUGCAGUGAAGACAUUGAGUUAUUGUCUUGUCAUACAAGUCUCUAAUUUCAAUACCAGCCGCCGACACAAGUACUGUAGACAAGAGGAGUUGCUUGUUGUUUACUAUAUACUACUCCAUUGCUUCCUGCCUAUUUCAUCACCUCAAGCAACUUCAGCUUAGAAUUAUUGGAUAAUAACGACUGUUCAAAUGAAGAUAUAGCGGAUGGAUGCGUCUGUGAAAUGUCAAUGUUUUAGACGGGGGCCGGGACAUGAAUUAGAAAGCAAGCCCAACAACUGAAACCUCAAUCUUCAUUUGUUUCGGGGCUUUAAACUUAGGCAAAAAAUCAUGGGCGGUCUUUGAUCGAAAAUAGCCAGAUCUGUACGUACCUCUUCGUUUGAUUUGGGUGUUACAACGGUCACCCAAAUAAAGUCCAAUGUGCUGAUCAACCUUUUUCCAAAAUCAUACACCUAAAAGUUUAAAUUAUUCAUAACCAUCGAAAGCUUUACUAUUGGCCAUGGAAUUUUUUAUAAAGGCAACAGUGUUGAGGCUUGACUAUAUGAAAAGCGCAUGGCCCUACUUUUCACUAUCUUAAGAUUCCUCCUAUCCUCCGUUGAUUUUCAGAUGAGGAAAGCCAUCCAAUCCCUACACUAUCCGCAACCCUUAGCUAAUUUUGUUGGGAAAAAAGAAAUAAAUAUAUAUAUUUUAUUUUAAUCCUUGUGAGAAGGCAACAUUUUAAAGAUAAUUUAAUCAUGGAUUAUUAUUUAAAAUAAAAUAAAAUUUAAAAUUCAUCCAUGAUUCUUAAACUCUAUCUAAAAUAUUCUCUCUCUAUAUUUUUAAUAUUUUCCAUGUAUAUUAUAUUAUCUAUAUUUAAAAUUCAUAGUUAUCUUUCAACAAUAUCAUUUCUAAAAUACGAAUUUAUAAACAAACCAUUUACUUUUAUUAUCUUUAGAAUAAUUCAACCUAGUUAAAUUUGGGGUUUUACAAUUAAUUUUAAUUGUAAUUUUGAGCAGACAUGGCAUAUAGGAAUAAAGUAGACAUCUUUUAUUCCACUAACUGGUUUUGUUUCUCAUUCUAACAUUAUUUGGCAGCUAGAUCUGUGCUUGUGUUCACACCAAGAUCCCCUCCAAAAAAAAAUAAAAUAUGGAAGCUCUACUCUCUGAAUUCACCUUCCUCUCAGAUCAAGCAUUACAAGACAAGAACUUUGAUCCAUCCACCAUAGAAGACCUAAUGAAGCUGUUUGAGAUUGAAUCAUACAAGGCAUGGGCAGCUAUGGAGCUUGAACAAGAAGAGGAAGUGAAAGAAGCUGAAACAAGCAUGCAGCAAGCUGAGGGUUAUCUUGACUCAGUCAUGGAAGCUGCGAUGGAUGAGUUUAGGCGGUUGGAGGAGGAAAUGGAACGCAUGGCAAAGGCUGAACUGAAGGACCUGGAAGACACAGCCGACAAGGCUAGAAAAAUGGGAAACCUGAUGGAAAAAGCUGCCGCUAUCGCCUCCAAAAAGUACGUUGAGGCUGCACUUAAUUCUGCUACUGCUUCUAUGAAAUCUGCUUGGAAAGGACUUUCUUCUAAAAAGGUUCAUCCUUCAUGAAAUGAAGCUCUAGUUGUAUCUUACAUAUAAUAUAAUUGAAAUACCCCUUGUUCUGGGUUUUCUUUCUUUCAUUUCACUGUAUGUUUUUCAUAAAAAGUAAUUAAAAUCCAUGAACUGGAUCUGGAUUUCUCCAGGAAUAAGAAAACUGGCAGGCAACAUGAGGCUUAGAAAGCUAUUUCCUUCAUUGUUUUUUGACUUGAAUUACUUGAUGAACUAGGCUAAUGUCACUCACAGAUUCUUCCAAUGUCUUAAUUAAAAGCAGCAAAAAGGGGGUUUGGAUACAGUACUGUAUCUAUAUUCCCCUGUGCUUAAUUAAUACUACAUACUGUUUCUUCAGUAUUCAGAUUAGAUCUUUUGAAUUGAUUAUAUCCUAAUGGUUGUUACUCUAUGAUUAUGGAAUGCUGUUGCAGAACCAGUAAUCCUCCAUUGAAAUCCAAACACCAACCCAAUGUCCGAUUAAGAGUUGAUUGAACCCAUUCUCAUAUCCUUUAAGCAACACAAUUGAGGAUACUUUUUUUUUGGCUUUUCCAACUAUUUGGAUGCUUUUAUUUUGCUCAUUAAUUAAAUGAUAGUUUGCAGGGAUAACUUCCAUUUCUUCAUUAAUUAAACGAUAGUUUUCAGGGAUUACUUCCAUUUCUUCCUAAACUUUAUGCUUUAUACGCACACCCCCUAUACACACUAUACAGCUGAAAGAAAAUAUAUGUAUAGAAAUAAAUUAAUGGUCUUUUUUUUGAAGAAAUUGUUGGAUAAUUUGCUGUCAUGUAAUCAAUUGUGUUAAGAAUGGAUGAAGCUAAGGGAUCUAAUAAUCAUGCAUGAAAGUAUUUAUGUAAUAUGCAUGUAUGUACUAGAUACACAUUAAUUAUUAGAUGCAUAUAUUAAAACUAAUAAUCACAAACAACAACUAUAUAUAUAAAGGUUGUAAGAGAUGAAGCCAUUACAAGAAAGUACAAAAGUAAGAGAUAAAAAAAUUAUGACAUGAGAAAAGUAUCCAUUCCAUGUUUAGUGUUUCUUCCUUUCACCAACUCUAGAAUCCUCUCCAACUAAGAAGUAUCAAUAGCUAGAGGUCCUUACAAUGUGAGUGUGAGUGAAAAUAAAAUUAAUCAUGACUUCUACAAGCACAAUCUCCAAUAAUGUUCAAAUUCCUAUCAUCGACGGCGAAAAUUAUGAUUUUUGAACAGUCAAAAUAGAGGCAUUAUUCACUUCCUUGAAUGUCUUGGAAUAGUCAAGGAGGGCUAUCAAGAUCCAGAAGAUGAAGAACAACUUGAAGAAUUAAAGAAUGAGAAGAUUACAAAUGUCAGAGUUCUUAGGAUGAUCUAAAGAGGAGUAACGGAUGUCAUAUUUCUCACAAUUAUGAAAGAAAAAAGAAAACUAAAGAAGCAUGAAAUAUUCUACAACAAUAAUUCAAAGGAGACAUAAAAAUGAGAGCAGUUAAACUUCAAUAUCUCAAAAUCUCAAUGAAAAAAUGAAAGAGCAUGAAAGCAUAAAUAAGUAUCAUAAUAGAUUGUCCAAGUUGGUGAAUCAAAUGAAGGCACAUGAAGACAUUAUUGAUGAUAGUAGAGUUGUUGAUAAAAAUCUAAUCAGCUUGACAAAAAAUUGAUCCUCUGGUGGUAGUUAAUGAAGAAACUAGGGAUUUGUCAAUCAUGACUAUUUAAGGGUUGAUAGGUACGGUUUACUAAGAUCCUAUGAGCAAAGAUUGUUACGUCAUUUAGAUAAAUCUGUUGAGAGCAUGUUUCAAUCCAAGCUUACUAUUGAAUUCAAGAAUGGUGAGAAAUCUUUAAUAUAAAACAAAGGCGAACCUUCUAGAGGUGGUAGAUUUGGAAGAGGUUGAGACAGAGGAAGAAAUUCACGUGGACGAGGUAGAAACAAUAAUAAUGGUGGACGAGACAAUGAUAGUGGAUCCAGUAAAUGAUGUGGAAUUUAUAAAAAAAAAUAGCCAUGAAGAGAAGGAUUAUUGGAAUAGAGGCAAACCACAAUGCUACUAUUGCAAGAAGUUCGGACAUGUGCAAAAAGACCGUUUGUCUUAGUAAUCAACAGCAACAUUUACCGAAGAAGGAAAGAAUGAUAAGAAUCUGUUCUUUGCUUGCCAUAAGGCAUUUGAAGAGCAAAAGAACAUAUGGUAUUUGGAAAGUGGUUGUAGCAACCAUAUGACAAGAGAUAAAGAAGUUUUUCUCGACAUAAACUCCACAUUUCGCUCAAAAGUCAAAUUGGAUAAUGGUAAAUAUGUUGAAGUUCAAGGCAAAGACAACAUUGGGGUCGAAACGAGGCAAUGAAGCAAGGUAAUCCAUAAUACACUUUAUGUGCCAGCAUUAGAUGAAAAUUUGUUGAGCAUUGGGCAACUUUUGGAGCAUGAUUAUUCUCUAUCCUUUGAGAAUCAAGAGUGCAAAAUCCUUGUUUCAAAAGGAAAAAUUGUUGUUAUAAUCAAAAUGACCAAUAAUAAAAGCUUUCACUUAUUUUUUUUCAAUACCAGAAAAGUAUCAACUUGAUAGUCAAAGAAGAAAAUGACUCUUGUUUGUGGCACAAGAGACUUGGGCACUUGAACUACAAAGGUCUCAAGUUACUUGCUCAAAAGAAUACUGUGCACGGGCUGCCAACAGUUAAAGAAAAAUCAGGUGUUUGAAGGUUGUAUGCUUAGCAAACAACACCAUCAACCACUUCCAAAGGAAGGAGCAUGGAGAGGCAAAGAAGUGCUAGAAUUGGCUUACACUGAUGUGUGUGGUCCUAAGAAAACUUUUUCUCAUGCUCAAAAUAGGUAUUUAUUCAUUGAUGAUUUAGGUAGUAUGAUAUGGGUGCAUUUUAUGAGACAAAAUUUAAAGUAUUCUCAAGAUUUUAAAAGUAUUAGAGAGAGAUAAAGUUAAACAUCUCCAUGAGGCAUAAAAUCGACAAUAGAUUGUAUUCAAUUCUUGGACUAAACUUCCUAGGACUUUGGUCAUUUGAUUGAUACACUUAGGCCACCUAUGUUAGGAAAUUAUUGAUGUCAUGUUCAAGUCAAGAAAAAAAAGCGAAAAAAAAAGUUUUUCAAGGUUUUUCAUUUUAUCAAAAUUUCACAUUAUAUUAUUUUUUCUAUUCGAAGAUUAAGUUUCUAUAUAUUUUUAAAAUAAAAAAAUUCAAAAUAAUUAUUGAGUAAUAGUUUAAAAAAUGUUAAUUUUGAGAGGAAUUUAAAUGAAAAAUAUUAUAUUAAUUUAAAUUACAACACUUAGUUGAAUUUAUGUCAACUUAAUUUUUUUUAUCAUCAUCACGAAGGUGACAUUAGUUCAAAUGAGCAAAAUACGAAUGGUGUUAAAUACUAUUUUUUGUUUAGUGGGUUUUAGAGGUAUGUUAAGGAAUAUUUAAAUAAAAAUUAAAUUUUUAACUUUUCUUAGAAAUAGAAUUAAAGUGGUAAAAUUUGUAAAUUUGAGAGUUAAAUUAUUGAAUUUAGAAUUCAAACUAAAAUGAUAAAUUUUGUAAAUAUUAAUGACAAAAUUUAUUGAAUUUUUAAAUUUAAAAUUAAAUUGAUAGAAUAUGUAAUUAUUAUAGAAUUAAAUUUUUUAUUAUGCCAAUAAAAAUGAUACACUUUAACUUUUUCGUAAUUAACGGGAGAGUAAUUAAAAUAUUUAAUUUGAAAAAAUUAAAAAAUUGAGUGACCAAAAGACAUGAUUAAGUAAUUAUUUUUGUAGUUAAACCAUUUAACGAUACAAAUAAAAAAAAUUAAAUUAAGCCUAUUCUUAAUCCCUAAAUUCCUAAAAUGAAAACACGCUUAGUCGGUCCCUCACCCUCCUCCUAGACAGAUCACCCUUCACCGUCGGUUCAUCUUAUCUCUGACCUCAACCGGCGCCGUUCAGGCAGAACUCACUCUCUCCACUCGAUUCACAGCCGGCAGCCUCUACAACCCACCCCUCACAGCCUCUUUCCGUCGCUCAACUCAGCCCUUGCAAUCGGUAGUCAGUCGCGCAACUCGCAAGCAGUGCAAUCGGUAGUCAGUCGCGCAGCUCGCAAGCAGUGCAAUCGGUAGUCAGUUGCGCAGCUCGCAAGCAGCAAGCUCGUCGCCUCCGUCUCACACCCUGAGGUUUCUGCAAAUUUAUUAAUCGGUUCAUUUGAAAUCUGUUGAUUGUUUAAAUUUCAUAAUACAGAUCGUUGAAUAUAUUCUGCUGGAAAAAUGCACCCUCCUCUUACUUUACACAGGCAUCCAAUGUGUGCUGAAGUAAGUACGAACUUGGUGUUGAAUCUAAUAUUUUUAGCUGUUGGAUUGGAAGGAAAGUUUGGUUCUUGUUAAAUUAAUCAUAUGACUUUAUCUUUUGGCAGAUCAUCGAGGAGUUCCAAAAGUGUCAUUUAGAGCAUCCAAUAGCUAAAUUCUUCGGUGAAUGUACAGAAUUAAAGAUAAAGCUCGAUCGCUGUUUCCGACAGGAAGUGAGUUAUUCUCAGCUCUAGGUGGAAUUCAGUUUCUAAUAUCAUUGUCGUGACUCUGUUUGAAACACGAUGUUUUUAUUUGGCAGAAAGCUUUGAAGAGGAAGGCCAAUUUUGAACAGAGUAAGAAACUGAAAGAAAGACUUCAGGCGUUAAGGAAGGAAACUGCUGAAAGCGAUUCAUGAAUCUGUUUUACGAUGCUGUGGUUGGUUGGGCCACAGUUAUUUGCUUGGUGCUACAAAAAAUUGUUUACUUGUUUCCGUUGCCUACUUGAGAAUGAUAUAUGAUGAACAAAGAUUGUGGUUCCUUCUUGAUUUUACAUAAAGAAACUUUGAUUGUAUACCUAUGUACUUGGACUGCUGAAAAUCUUAAAUAACAAUUACCUUAACUUUAUUUUUCCGCAUCGAGCUCAAUUAUCAUAACCUGAAGUUUUUUAAAUGUUUGACCUCUAACGGUGAUCCUCUUAGAUGACAAUAAAAACCUUUAAGGUAGUCGCCGUUGUGUUUAAACUGAAAUCUUUGCUAAUAUUAAGUUUUCUCUAAAUACUUCCCUUACUAGUCUCCUCUCAUCUAGGUUCACACCUCAAAAGCUAGAACCACUUGUUUUCUGCACGAGGUAAUGGGCGAUCAAGCAAAUGGAGGACGACUAGGUUGCCAAAACAAUGAUUUUUAUCAUUAGUGAUAGAAGAAAGGGUUUAUUAAUGAAACAAAAAAGAGGAAGAAAUAUGACCAAAUCUUGCUAGUUUUCUGUAUAUAAAACUCUGAUCCUGCUAGUUUGAUGUGAGUGUCCCAAGCAAUAGGGCUUUGUUUAACAGUGAUGGAAUCAAUGUGUUUGAAUUAGCUUUAUCUAGUAUUUAACAGCAAGUUUUCCUCAGUAGCUAGUCUUCUUAUCUGCAAAUUCUCUUAAAAAUCAAAAUAAUUUAAUAGCAAAACCGAAAAAGUAUAACUAAGAAAAGCUUGAAGUUCGAUCCCAAUAGCAGAGCUAGUUCUAUGUUUCUAAGUACUAAAUACAAGUAUGAACUCCAUUAAUUCAAGCUUUUUCCUUUUUCUGUCAAUUCAUGUUUGCUUCUGAUUCUUAAAGUCCUUAACAUAGGUGCUAUAUUCUUCUUUGUACUUGGGGCUGCUGUGAUAUGUUGUAAGGCUUUUUCUGCUGUUGAAAUCUUUGAUAAAGUGCCUCAUUUUCUUCUCAGAAUCAAAAACUGAAUCCAGAUGUUCAUGAAAAAGGCAUUUGAUUGCUUCUGGCAUGGUUUGAUCCUUCAUUACACUGUUUCAAUAGUCCCCCUGGUUCUCUUAUUGCUUAAGGCUUGCGGACUACCCAAGAAAAGAUGAGUGUAUAAACAUCGAUAAAACACGGUCAGAAACAAACAUAAUUGAAUGAAAACCAAUAUUAUGGAUUAUUUUGAACAAAUUUCAUAGAAAAACAUACAGAAACUGGUUUUUAGAUAGUCAGUUGCUGCUCUAAGAUUAUAUGUGAAGUAAUGGUUACCAGAAAGCAGAAAAUGAAGAAUCUUCAUGUCUUUUACACAUUAGUAUGAAGAGAAGGGAUUGGAUCAUACCAUUAAUAGAGUUUGGAAGACCAUGACUGAUGCUUAAAAUGGAGUGCAUCGAAAAAAAGUGUAUGUUAUAUCAAUUCUAAGAUUUGAACUUUUGGUACUAAAGAGAGGAAAAAGGAAAAUGAAUUUGAACUGGGUAUUGGGUGGAGCGAAGGACUGAAGGAUUUAAAGAAAAGUUUAUGGGAGCAAAAACCAACUUAUCCUAUAACAUAAGUCAAUUGGAGAGCAAAAGAUGGGAUGUUCCCAAAUCUUACCCAACUCUACUUGAUCAAUCAAUUCAAUUUUACUUGAAGAGCCACUCCAAUUAGAACAAUGGACUCUGCCAUCCAUUCCCCAACCGGUUUAUUAAUUUCAAUUAAGAUUGUUUUGACUGAUUUUGCUAUGCGACUGUACACCGUGCAAUGGAUAAGGGGAUCAUAAGAAGCAGUGUUAGUAUCCUUUAACUGGAUUGGAAGCGUGCACUGUUUCAUAUUGUUGUACUAAGUUUUGAAUUUUGGAAGGAAAGAUACAAAUGCAUUGUUGAUGAAAUACAAGGAAAUGCAUGUUUUGAGUUUCAAAUGGACCAAUCUCUCUUACCUUGAUGAUUUAUUGGUAUUAUCAAGCCAACUCUGUCUGAAGAAAGAAAUGCCACCUUCAACAACCCCUCAUCUCUUUUCACCCCCAGACUUUGUGAUUCAACUACAUACUCAAUUUUACCAUUACCAAAUUUCAUAAUUUAAGAUUUAAGAUAAGUUUUGCAAGCAAUUAUAUUAUACCAAUGCAAAUGAAUACAUCCUAAUGCCUCGAGGGAAAAACUUAUUUAUUAUAUAUGUAUUACAAUAGUUAGACAUAAAAUAAAAAAUAAUUAGUAAAAUUUUAAAAUAAAAAUUAAAAAUAUGAGUAAUAAUUCUUGUAAAAUAUAACACCUCUUCAAAAGAAGCAAGAAUAUUUCCUUCUCUUUGCUACAAAUAUAUAAGUCAUGAGAGUGACUAAAUUUUAUCAAUUAAAUUAAUUUAUUGUUAACACAUAAUUAUACUACAAAAACAAAAAUAAGGAUUAUCUAACCCAUAGCCCCUGGUUUUGCCCAACACAAAAUUCACUGUGCUUUUGUAAGUUAUAAGGUUUUUAUGUGCACCAUUAAUUUAUAUAAAUAGAAUUAGUUAUAUAGGAGCCUUCUUACUUUGUUGUUCAAUGACUGUAAUGUUUCUACAGGAUGGUAAUUGUUGACUUCCCCUUUCUAAACAAACGAAAAAAAAUUUGAUAUCUAAUCUAAAAUCAACUGUUUAUAAAAUUAAUAAAAACUCUUAACAAAGUUAAGGUAGAUGUUUUAUUUUAUUUAGUAUUUCUUCUAGAUGUAUUUUGCAUUGUUUUUUUCUUCUAUUUUAUGGUAAUUUCAACCAAUUUAGUAUCAAAAUUAAAUAUUAUGUUGUCUAAUAAAUAUUUGACAUUGAGAUAAAAGAAAAACUCAAAUACUAAAUUCAAUCAAAAAGAAAAUUAGAAAAAUUCCGUCCAACUUAAAAAGGUAAAAGAUACAAGUACAAAAUAAAUAACGGUAUAACCGGAACACACUCAUGUAUAGAUUUGAAAAAGACAAUAAUAUCCUUAACGUGACCUUAUCAACCCUAAUCUUCUCCCGAUUACUAAACUUUUACCCCCAAAUCUUUCCCCAAAACGAAUUGAAGAAGAUUACUUUCUUCUCUUUGGAUCUUUCCACUAACCUUCUUCAAAUCUAUUUAAGGUCAGUUAAAAAUCAUUCUAUGAGAAAAGAUUUUGAUAUUCUUGUUGCUAAAUGAUUGGUCAUUAGCUUUAUCUUUUUCAUCUUUAUUUCCCCUGUUUUUUCUUUUUGGUUGAAAGUUCCUUUCUUUGGACGUAAUUUUGUUUUGGUUUUGUUGUUAUUGGCAUGGGAGUCUUAAUAACGGGAAAAGGUUAGAAUGAUUUCCUUAUUUCAAUUUUUCUUUACAUUUUCAAAAGUUCUUAUUUUUUCUUGGUGCUUGAAAGUAGCUAUCAAAGUGGCAUGGUAGUUUUUUUCUCUUAUUUUCUUUCUGGAUUUUCCUCUUAUAAACUUUCGUAGAGUGAAUUUGAGCUCAAAAGGAUACAUGCGAAAUAAAAUAAAAUAAAAAUUAUUAUUUGAAAUUAUGAGGACAAUUUCCAUUGUGAUCACUGUAGUAAAAUGUAAGCUGUUCAAAAGUUUGAAUUUUUACAUUAUAUAAGCAUUUUAUUUUGGUAGAUGAGUUUAGAACCUGGUUUUAACAGAUUAUUACUAGUAUUUGUUUCUUGUUUAGAAGUAAAUUGCUGCUUGCAAAUAUGAAGAUUGGGUGUUUAGCAAUUAGCUUAUCUUUAGGAAGGAUGGCAUAGUUUCGUUUAUUCAGUUAAGAUAAUAAUUUGAAGUAUAUCUAGGAUACUCCUUUGUCUCCUAGCAAUACAGUUAUACUGUUAUGUAUGUUUCCAAUGAAUUAGGUAUUGCUUAUUUCAUGCUUUGGUUGUUUGUACAUAUGGUCAGAUGUGAACCAUUUGAAUCAUAUCUUCUCAAUUUUCACUAUUCAUGAAAUUUCACUUUAAGCAGUUGACGGUAUUAGUUUACUUCUGUUAAUGUCAAAUGUUCAUUUUGUUAUAGUUAUUCUUCACAGCGCUCAUUUGGAGCUCCCUGAAUGGUUUGUUCAUUGGCUUCAAAAUUGUUGGCCCUCUUAACUUCUUUACCUGACUGAAAAAAGUUAGCUCUCUUGCCUUCUUGGGUAAGACAAUGGUAAGUUGGUCAUUGCAUGGAAUGAAGUCAUAAUUUGUAUUGGUUGCCCCAUGGAAGACCACACUUUUGCUGUUGGUCAGGAGUUCCCUGAUGUCAAGGCCUUCCGUAAUGCUAUUAAGGAAGCUGCCAUUGCACAGCACUUUGAGCUGCGUAUUAUAAAGAGUGACCUUAUCCGUUACUUUGCCAAGUGCGCCACAGAAGGAUGUCCAUGGCGUAUUUGUGCAGUUAAGCUUCCCAAUUCUCCAACUUUCACAAUUAGAAGUCUUGAAGGAGCACAUACUUGUGGGAAAAAUGCACAAAAUGGGCACCAUCAAGCUUCUGUGGAUUGGAUUGUGAGUUUUAUAGAGGAACGACUACGGGAUAACAUCAAUUACAAGCCAAAGGAUAUAUUGCAUGACAUUCAUAAACAAUAUGGGAUCAUCAUACCAUACAAGCAAGCUUGGCGUGCAAAGGAACGGGGACUUGCUGCUAUUUAUGGCUCUUCAGAAGAAGGAUACUGCAUGCUUCCCACAUUUUGUGAGGAAAUAAAGAAAACAAACCCUGGAAGUAUUGCAGAGUUAUUCACCACUGGUGCAGAUAACCGUUUCCAGCGGCUAUUUGUUUCCUUUCAUGCAUCCAUAUGUGGAUUCUUGAGUGGAUGCUUGCCUAUUGUUGGGCUUGGUGGAAUCCAGCUUAAAAGCAAAUACCUCGGUACUUUGCUUUCAGCAACUGCUUUUGAUGCUGAUGGUGGUUUAUUUCCUCUUGCAUUUGGCGUUGUUGAUACAGAAAAUGAUGAUAGCUGGAUCUGGUUCUUAUCAGAGUUGCAUAAGGCUUUGGAGAUGAAUUCUGAGAAAAUGCCACAGCUCACUUUUCUAUCAGAUGGUCAAAAAGGCACUUUAGAUGCAAUAAGGAGAAAGUUCCCAAAUUCUCGUCAUGCCUUUUGCAUGAGCUAUCUUAGUGAAAGCAUUAGCAAAGAGUUCAAGAACUCAAGGCUUUUCCAUCUUCUCUGGAAAGCUGCAUAUGCUACAACUACGACUGUUUUUAAAGAGAAAAUGGCUGAAAUAGAGGAGGCUUCUCCUGAAGCUGCAAAGUGGAUACAGAAAUUUCCACCUUCCCGCUGGGCAUUGUUGUAUUUCGAAGGGACACGUUAUGGGCACCUCUCAUCAAACAUUGAGGAAUUUAAUCGGUGGAUUCUUGAUGCUUUAGAGUUACCCAUAAUACAGGUGGUUGAGCAAAUUCACAACAAAUUGAUGUCUGAGUUUGAGGACCGUCGAACUAGAAGUCAUUCUUGGUUUUCUGUACUAGCCCCUAGUGCUGAGACACGCAUGCAAGAAGUUAUCAGCCGUGCAUCAACAUAUCAAGUUCUGCGGUCAGAUGAAGUAGAAUUUGAGGUUAUAUCAGCUGAACGAUCAGACAUUGUGAAUAUUGGGAAACACUCUUGUUCAUGUCGUGAUUGGCAACUUUAUGGAAUACCUUGUGCACAUGCUGCGGCAGCAAUCAUGUCAUGCCGAAAAGAUGUAUAUGCUUUCGCAGAGAAAUGCUUUACAGUUGCCAGUUAUCAUGAGGCAUAUUCAGAAGAGAUAUACCCCAUUCCUCAGAAGAUUGACUGGAACAAGUUCGAUGAGGCGCCUAGUACUUUGAAUGAGGAUGCUCAAGUCGUGCGACCGCCCAAGUUUCGUCGGCCUCCAGGACGCCCUGAAAAGAAACGGAUAUGCGUAGGGGAGCUUAAUCGUGAGAAACACACGGUGCAUUGUAGCAGAUGUAACCAGACCGGUCACUAUAAAACAACUUGCAAAGCAGAUAUUAUGAAGGGUAUUGAUUCUAGCCUUGUAGGAUCUAAUUUUGUACUUAAGUAGAUUGUAGAUUAUGAAUAUGGUACUAGCGUGGCCAUAUUUAAUUCUGCACCCAAUGUGAAAUAGGAAAUCUCCAUUGUAUCUCUCAGUAUGUAUGUAUGUAUGUAUAACUGGAUUCAAGUUCGUAUGGCUCUGGCUUUAGUUUUGCAACUUUUGCUCUUGAUGAGAAAUUCAGUUGGGCCUUUUAUUGCACUCAAAUACAUCCAGUAGAAGGUGUCUUCUGGAUCCUUGUUGAAUUUAUUAACAAAAUUUAAAACUUUUAUAUAUUUUGAACUAUCACCACUGCAUAUUUAAAGAUAAAAAGUUAAAAAUAAAAAUAUGAACUUAAAGGUUAAAAAUGCUUUUAGCAAAAAGUCAAUUGAGUUUUUAUGAAAAAAAAUACAACCAAAUGACUUUUUUUUUUUAACCAAAACUGUCAAUUAACUGAAAAAGUCACCAAAAAUUGCUACGUUUCAUUACGUGAAGUAGGCAGUGGCUGGAAGAGUAAAGCAUGGGAGUAGCUCUUGAAACUUUCUGUUGAGUUGUAGGUCAAGUUUGUAUUUCCUUGUACUGUACAGCCACCUAAUCCUAUAUUUUAAGAAGUUGCAGAUGGAGAUGGAGGUGAAGAAGAGGUGGUGGGUUUAAACCUUAAUUGACAGAUAUGAAUAUGAAUCCCCUGCUUCAAGAGCUAUUCCCAUGCUUUACUCUUCCCUUGUUUCAUUACAAAGUUUGUUCAUCCUAGUCAUCACUUGCACUGAACCGCGGGUCAUGGCUCCAAAUUUUGUUGUUUGCAUCAUCAAUCACGGGAGUUGUCCUGGGUCAUUGAUGGAUCUUGUUUGCAGAGCAGGAGCUCCAAAAUCACUCAUAAGUAUACUUAUUUGCCAAAAUACUAUCCCUCCAUAAUUUUGUAUAUAUUGCUAUCUUUCUAUACGAAAAGGCGUGAAGAGACAUGGAGAA